UUUAGGUGUGGCAAGCAGGGACACUU
rnacentral:piRNA from 1 species